UGGGUUGAAGCCCGCUGGAUUGGGUGUUUAGUUGUUAAUUAGAGUUUUACGGGAUC
rnacentral:tRNA from 1 species